rnacentral:rRNA from 1 species
UCCCCUUUAAGGUAAACGGCGAGUGAGCGGCAAAAGCUCAAAUUUGAAAUCGGCCACCAGGUCGAGUUGUAAUUUGUAGAUUGUAUCUUGAGAGCGGAUUAAAGUCUGUUGGAACACAGCGCCUUAGAGGGUGACAGCCCCGUAAAAUCUAUUCUCAUUGUAAGAUACUUUCGAAGAGUCGAGUUGUUUGGGAAUGCAGCUCUAAGUGGGAGGUAAAUUCCUUCUAAAGCUAAAUAUUGACGAGAGACCGAUAGCGAACAAGUACUGUGAAGGAAAGAUGAAAAGCACUUUGAAAAGAGAGUGAAAAAGUACGUGAAAUUGUUAAAAGGGAAGGGUAUUGAAUCAGACUUGGUGCUGUUGUUCAACUGUGUUUCGGCAUAGUGUACUCAGCAGUACUAGGCCAAGGUGGGGUGUUUGGGAGUGAAAAAGAAGUUGGAAGGUAACUCUUCGGAGUGUUAUAGCCUACUUUCAUAGCUCCUCAGGCGCCUCAGGACUGCGCUUCGGCAAGGACCUUGGCAUAAUGAUUCUAUACCGCCCGUCUUGAAAAAAGGAACACCAA